UUAACGAUAACCAGCGGGAGGCAAGUUACUCAAUGCCGACUAAACAUUAGCUCGAUCUUUGUUUAUUUGCCGCACAACCCCGACUUGACAGUGCAAGCAGGAGUUAGAAAUAACACUAAACUGACAGCAACAAAUAUUAAUGAACCUUGACUCGGCGUGUUUAGUUAGCAGGGAUUUAUUUCUUUGCGCCCAUUGACUCUGAACUCUAAAUUUCGAAGUUGGGCUACAUAUUUUUUUCAAUGUUCCAAGGGGGGGAAAUAAACAAAGGUCUUACGUCAUAUUGUGAGAGGGGAAACCGAGGAAAGACAGAGGCACUCUUUGAAAAGGUUUUAAACGGGGGAUUGUCAACGAUGAACUAAAGGGACGGGACUAUCGUGUAUGCAUUAUUUCUUGAAGGAAUCCGUUUGUCCAAGUGCAGAGGGGAAAUCCUUUCCGGAUCCUCCACGAGCACCAGCCAGUCCUCCAAGCCCUGCACAGCAAGAGCUGCUGCAGCUGUGUGAUGCUGUCGGGACGGGGCGCAAAUACCCCUUUCUCUGUGUUUGCUUAGCACCGGCUUUCAUCCCUCGUUGCUUUGCUAUGAGUCCGAACAUGGUUUAUAGCGCUGUACUGGAGCAUUUCUUCUUAUUGAUGAUUCUUAUGAUGAUUAUUGUCAACGAUGAACUAAAUGACUUAAAUGUAAAUGUAAAUGUAAUCAGACGUGGCCUACCUUUAUAGACUGAAAAUAACAAUUGGCUAUUGUCAAUACUACGUUCUUUAUUGGCUAUUGAUACAGCCGGGGUAGUAUUGACUUGGCACAUGGUCUUGGGAGGAAUUAAGUGUUUGUUAAAGAUAGCAAGAAUGAGAUCCAGAGGGGCAGAAUAGAAAAUGGGAAUGAAGAUUAUACGAGAUGAUUAGGCCUACGCAUGCAGGACCGGCGACUGUUUUUUUGACAAUAGUUUUCUGAUGAUUUGUUUUUGGUAAAAGUCUAGAAAUCUGCUUAUUUUCUAAAAAAAAAUAAAAGUUCCUGAA